UUUCCUGCUAUGAACUAAUUGAUGACUCUUUUAUGCAUUUUCUUUUGUCGAGCAGCGUAUGGAAAACUUUCAUCAAGGAAGAUAAGUCCCAUGAAUGGCCACCGAAGCUGCGAUGGAAGGCGAAAAAAUGCCCGCAACAACCAGAAGGGACUGAUCUCUGUGGAUUCUUCGUUUGCGAGUACAUCCGCAGAAUUGUCAGCGAGAGAACGAAUAAUGAAAGAAAUAAAGAGUUGGCAAGAAAGCGGAACAAGCUCUCAAUCGAUGACCGCUUCAUAGCAAUAGGCGAGGAAUUGGCGGGAUUUUUCCUUCGGGACGUCAUACCACCAUUCGCAGAGUACCACUAU